UUUACAGAAAUUUGUACACUUCCCUAGUAAAAAGAUCAGUCGAAAAGUCUUCUGUUUUGGUGGACUUGCAGCAACUUGAAAUGCAUUGUGAUGCAGAUAAAGCAUACUCAGAAGGAUGCUGUGAACUUUCUGAUACUUGUGAAAGAAGUUGUAAAUGUGCCCAUGGAAGAUCACAAGAUCAAGGAACAACAGGCCC